rnacentral:rRNA from 1 species
UAGUCCUAGCCGUAAACGAUGGGCACUAGGCAAUGGGUUUACCUAUGAGGCUCAUUGCCGUAGCUAAUGUGUUAAGUGCCCCGCCUGGGGAGUACGCUCGCAAGGGUAAAACUCAAAGGAAUUGACGGGGGAUCACACAAGCGGUGGAGCAUGUUGCUUAAUUCGAAGCAACGCGAAGGACCUUACCAGGCCUUGACAUGGACGAAUUAGAUUCCUGAAAGGGAGUUGACUGCUCUUCGGAGCCGGAACGUUCACAGGUGUUGCAUGGCUGUCGUCAGCUCGUGCCGUGAGGUGUUGGGUUAAGUCCCGUAACGAGCGAAACCCUUAUCGUUAGUUGCCAGCGGGUUAUGCCGGGGACUCUAGCGAGACUGCCGUUGUCAAAACGGAGGAAGGUGGGGACGACGUCAAGUCAUCAUGGCCCUUAUGGCCUGGGCUGCAAACGUGCUACAAUGGUCCGUACAAAGGGUACCCAAGUCGCAAGGCGGAGGCAAUCCCAUCAAAGCGGGCCUCAGUUCGGAUUGC